rnacentral:rRNA from 1 species
AAGGGUGAAAUUAGGUUAUUUUUUGUAGAUAAGUUAUUGGUAUUGAAGCAAGAAAUCUUCGGGGUUAAACUAGGAUUAGAUACCCUAUUAUACCGAAAGUUAAUUAUAAUUGCCAGAUUAAUAGUAGAUAUUUUCUUUAAAUUUAAAGAAUUUGGCGGUGAUUUAGUCUAGUCAGAGGAACCUGUUUUUGAAUCGAUAAACCACGAAAAAUCUUACUUAAGUUUGUAUACCGUCAUUAGCAGAUAAUUUUUAAAGAAAUAAUUAUUGUGUUUUAUAAAUUUAGAAAAAUUAGAUCAUGGUGCAGCUUAUAGGUAAGUUAAAAUGGGUUACAAUAAUAUUUAUUUAUAACGAAUAAAUAAUUUUUAAGGUGGAUUUGAUUGUAUAUAAGUUUAAUAUGCUUAGGAGGCAUGAGCUCUAAAUCAUGUACAUAUCGCCCGUCGCUUUC